AAAAAACUGGUGAAAUGUACCAAUGUCAGUUUAGUUUUGACAAAUCAUGAUAAGAUGUUAAUAAAAGAGGAAACUGGCCUGGGGCAGUGGCUCACACUUGCAAUCCUGGCAUUUUGGGAGGCCAAGGUGGGUGGAUCACUUAAGCUCAAGAGUUGGAGACCAACCUGGGCAACAUGGCGAAAUCCCAUCUCUAUAAAAAGAUUCAAAAAAAUUAGCCCGGGAUGGUGGUGAGCACCUGUAGUCCCAGUUACUCAGGAGGCUGAGGUGGGAGGAUCACUUGAGCCUAGGAGGUUGAGGUUGCAGUGAGCUAUGAUUGCACCACUGUACUCCAGCCUGGGUGACAGAGGGAGAUCCUGUACCAAAUUGAAAAAAAAAAAGGGGGAAACCAAGUGAGGGGUAUAAGGAGACCCUCUGUCCUAUCACUGAAAGUUUUCUGUAAAUCUAAAAUCACUCUACAAUAAAAUAUUUAUUCUCAAAAAUAUUGUGUAUAUACAUAUUUUUUGUUUUUGUAUCUCAUUUGGACAGAUUCUUGAUGAAUUCACCACUUCCCAGCCAUUGGAAUAAGAAAUGCCUCUGUAGCGCGGGUGCCCACUCAGACCUCUGCCUUUAUUUUUGUGGACAAAGAAAAAUUUACAGCACAUUUUUAAUCAAGGCAUACAUGGUAGCAAACCAAGGUUUCUAGGAAAACCAUGAAAAGUCACCUCGGCUGGAAGGCUGGAGCGUGUCACAACAAUAACACAGCGGGAACCUGGAUGAGAGGAGUGGAGAGUUAAUUUGUGGAGGGGAAUGAAUAGUCUGCUUGAUGGAAGAACAACUUUCUGCCCUGUCUGAAGAUGUGACAAAUGGCCAUGAGGAGAUUGCGCCAGGAUGGCUCCCCAAGGGACUCAAGGGGGAAAACAAAACAGCAUGGAAUGGUGGCACAAUUGAAGAGUUUAGCAUUAUCCUGAGUAGAAGUGAAGCCACUUGUCCAUUUGGGAACUUUGGGAACUGUCAUUUUAUUGUCUUCCUACUUCCUGCUGAUGGAUUAUGGAUAUGAUGCCUGGAGUUCAGCAGCCGUCUUGCGCUGUGAGGAUGGUAGACGACAAGAUCGAAGGAUCCUGUGUACUUUUCUGAAGCUGCACUACCAGCCCUGCACUGUCCACCUCUAGGUUUCAUUUAUGUGAGUUAAGCUACUAUUAUUUUGGAUUUGAUAUCACUCUCAGCUGAACAGAAUCCUACCUAAGACAAGGAUAGAAGAAUUAUAAUUUUUACAAAGGGCUUCUUUAAGGUCGUGCUUGGAGUAAAUUCUAUAGUUCAAGGUAUUGGUAAGGGUGUGUUUGUGACAAGAUUUUGGGUAAAGCAAUCUAGUGUGAGCAUUAAGAGUGUGGGCUUGGAAGCAGAUUGGCUUUCAGUUGCUGUAGGUCCUUGGAGAAGCUCCUUAAGCUUUUUAAACUUUAGUCUUCCUGUCUAUGAAAUGGGAGCUAUAAAUAGUUCCCGGUACCUGCUGCUUCUCUUCUCAGGAGUUAUUGAAAUUCCACAGAGCUAAUACUCUAAGGCCCUUAGAGUAUACAGAUACCUUCUCUAAGUCAGGUUCCUGUACAAAGAAAUUUCACUUCAGCAAAAUUUCUUGGGCAGUUUUUUUUUUUUUUCCUUAAGACAGUCUCACAUCAUCACCCAAGCUGGAGUACAGUGGCGCAAUCUCCGCUCUCUGAAACUUCCGCCUCCCUGGUUCAAGCAAUUCUUCUACCUCAGCCUCCCAAGCAGCUGGGAUUACAGGCGCCCACUACCACACCCAGCUAAUUUUUGUAUUUUAAGUAAAGACAGGGUUUUACCAUGUUGGCCAGGCUGGUCUCCAACUCCUGACCUCAAAUGAUUUAUCUACCUCGGCCUCCCAAAGUGCUGGGAUUACAGGCGUGAACCACUGCGCCCAACCCUUGUGUAGUUUUUCCUUUCUUUUUAGAAAUCAACAAAAUCAAGUAACCCUAGAAAUAUAACUAUAUAACUAGUUUCAUAUAUAUAUAUAUAUAUAUAUAUCCUUCUUUCCUUCUUUCCUUCUUUCCUUCUUCCUUUCUUCCUUUCUUCCUUUUUUGAGACAGGGUCUCACUCUGUUGCCCAGGUUGGAGUUCAGUGGCAUGAUCUCAGCUGACAGCAACCUCCACCUCCCAGGCUCAAGUGUUUCUCCUGCCUCAGCUUCCCAAGUAGCUGGAAUUAGAGGUGCGUGCCACUACUGUCCGGCUAAUUUUUGUAUUUUUAGUAGAGACGGGGCUUCACCAUGUUUGCCAGGCUGGUCUCAAACUCCUGACUUCAAAUAAUCCAGCCACCUCAGCCUCCCAAAGUGCUGGGAUUACAGGCAUGAGCCACCAUGCCCGGCCUGAAUCCCUGUUUUCAAUUCUUUUGAUCACACACCCUUAAUGGAGUUUCUGGGUCAAAUAGUAGUUCUAUUUUUUGAGGAACCACUGUACUGUUUCCGUAGUGGUUGCACCAUUUGACAUUCCCACCAACAGUGCACAGGGGUUCCUAUGUCUCCAUAUUCUCAUCAACACUUGUUAUUUUCUGCUUUUUUGAUAGCAACUAUCCUAAUGGGUAUGAAGUGGUGUUUUAUUGUGGUUUUGAUUUGUAGUUCCUCAAUGAUUAGUGAUGUUGAGCACGUCUUCAUGUGCUUUUUGGCCAUUUAUAUAUCUUCUUUGGGGAAAUGUCUAUUUGAAUCCCUUACCCAUUUUUGAAUUGCAUGUGUGUGUGUGUGUUGUUGUUGCUGUUGAGCUGUAGGAGUACUUUAUAUAUUCUAGGUAUUAACCCCUUGUCAGAUAUAUGAUUUGCAAAUAUUUUCUUCCAUUCUGCUGGUUUCCUUCUCACUCUGUUGAUUGUGUCCUUCGAUUCACAGAAUUUUUAAAACUUAAUGUAGUCCAAUUUAUCAAUUUUUGCUAUUGUAGCCUGUACUUUUGGUGUCAUAUCUAAGAAGUCAUUGCCAAAGCCAAU
rnacentral:lncRNA from 1 species